GGCCGCAAACAGACUGCCAGCAGGCCGCAAACAGACUGCAAACAGACUGCCAGCAGGCCGCAAACAGACUGCAAACAGACUGCCAGCAGACUGAAGACUGCCGACAGGCCGCAAACAGACUGAAGACUGCCGACAGGCCCCAAACAGACUGAAGACUGCCAGCAGGCCGCAAACAGACUGCUAACAGACUGCCGACAGGCCGCAAACAGACUGCAGACUGCCGACAGGCCCCAAACAGACUGAAGACUGCCGACAGGCCCCAAACAGACUGAAGACUGCCGACAGGCCGCAAACAGACUGCUAACAGACUGCCGACAGGCCGCAAACAGACUGAAGACUGCCGACAGGCCCCAAACAGACUAAAGACUGCAGACAGGCCGCAGACAGACUGAAGACUGCCGACAGACUAACAGGACAGAAAGGACCGAGCCAGUUCCUCCGUGGUCACAAACGUCACCCUCACAUCAACGAACGGACACAGAGGUCAUUUUAGAUAGCAUCACCUCAAGGAUUUUUUUUUUACAGCGGUACAAAUACUGUCUGCCGCAGCGUCCACCCACUCUUGUCCCGGAGACACACAGCAGGAAGUGCACGAACCUGAUUCAACUAAUCAGAACUGAGUCACCACCUGGGUCGGAUGGUAUCCAGACUCUUAUCCUGGGAUUUAAGGUAUUACCGGCCUAGUGUGUGUGCGUGUGCGGAAGGGGGGGGGGCAAAAAAACUACAUUAGGGGUCUAUUACCAGAAUGCUAACAAAAUUAGCACAAGUAAUAGCGAAUUUCCAUGGAGCCUGCUAGCUAAAUAUUCUAACGAGCGCGAACGGCAGUCCAACUUAUAAAGUUCUACAUACAUAGGUAGGCCUCCGAAUGCCAUUUUUUGGUGAGUUUGAACUUUUACGAGGGAAUGUGAACGAGAGACACUAUGCAAAUGAACAGUACUGACUCUGGAGCAGCACGUGUCGGUACACACAGUGUCUGCGUGGAGUCUGGAGUCGCUGGGGCAACGGGCCUGCCUCUGCUCUGCUCGGAGAAGAAGAUGGGGGAGGAGCAGACAAGCAGAGGAAGGAGAAGAGAAAAAAAGUCAGGAAAAUCAAAAGAUUGCAGCUGUACAAAUGAUUCAUCCAAAAGGGCUUCUCCAACACGGCAGAAAGCCAACACUACAUAAUGUCCAAUCACCUUACUCAUUCAGUCACUUAAUUAAUUAGCACGUUAAACUUAGGAGUUGUGUUAAUGCAGAAUUGUUUAUUUUUCAUGCAGGAAAAAAAAAAAAAAAAGGUAAAACGCAUAAGAAAUAUCUUGUUGCGUUUUGUAAACGCAAAUCUAUUGUAAUUUCUGCUCAGCAUCAGACAAAUGUUGUGCUUCAGUUGCACUUCUCCACCUGGGACCACGGACGGGCAUCAUAUCAGCAGACAAUGCUUUGACUGAUGCGGAGAUACUCUCUAUUUAGUUAGAGAUGAUCAAGGCCUGGAGUGUUUAAAAAAAAAAACGAACAAAAAAUUCCCUCUCUGUGAACAUUUCAUAGGGCCGUAGUUUGUCGACCCCCUGCACUAGCCGAAUCAGUGCAAGGCGAGAACAAAAGCUCUCGUUGUUACCACAGGAAUGAAUUGAGAAACACAGGAUUAGUUGAAUCAGGUCUGUUAGUGUGGGGCUGGAACAAAAGCUCUGUAUAUCUCCAGGACCAGGGUUGGAGACCACUGUUCUACAGAGACAUCCGUCACUGUGGGGACAGCUUGGUGAGUGUAGGACUGGACAGGGCUGGGCAAGGCUGGGGAGGUUGUUUUUACCCCUCCAGUCCACAAGGAGCACUGUGGGCCCUCUGUCACCUGUCCCUUUAUCACCUCUCCACGAAGAAGAGUUCCAGCUCCUGAAGAAGGUUCUAGAACCAUGAAUAAGAGUUCCAGAACACGGAAUGUUUGUGAAUCACGAAGAGAGUUCAAGAAACAUGAAGAAGAUUUCAGAAACAUGAAGAAGAUUCCUUAUCCUAAAGAAGGUACCAGAAUCACGAGGAGAGUUCCAGAGCUCUCUGUCUCCUCAAACAUAGCAGCAGUUCAGUAGAAUCAGAACGUUCCAUGUUCAGUCUUUCAGAUCCUUUGUGUAGUUUAGAACACUCACAACAUUCUCAGAUCCAUUGUGUAGUUUAGAACACUCACAACAUUCUCAGAUCCUUUGUGUAGUUUAGAACACUCACAACAUUCACAGAUCCAUUGUGUAGUUUAGAACACUCACAACAUUCUCAGAUCCUUUGUGUAGUUUAGAACACUCACAACAUUCUCAGAUCCAUUGUGUAUUUUAGUACACUCACAACAUUCUCAGAUCCAUUGUGUAUUUUAGAACACUCACAACAUUCUCAGAUCCAUUGUGUAUUUUAGUACACUCACAACAUUCUCAGAUCCAUUGUGUAUUUUAGAACACUCACAACAUUCUCAGAUCCAUUGUGUAUUUUAGAACACUCACAACAUUCUCAGAUCCAUUGUGUAGUUUAGAACACUCACAACAUUCCAGAAUGAGGACUACACCUGAAGCAGCAGUUAAAUCCAUGCUCUCUUCUCAUUGGAGUACUAAAUACUCAUUCCAUCAUUCCUUCAUUAUUCCUCUCUGACUGAUGUUGAAAUGCCCCAUGUACAUGUAUGUUCAUAUGUGGCAGGCUCUACAACAAGACAUGAGGCUAUUGGAGAGGUUAAAUAACCUCUCAACUCCCCUCUUAGCUAUCAUUGACCUCUGACUUCUGGGCUUUGAGCCUCUUGGGCAUCAAGGCUUGUCGUAGGCACUAACCUCUCCCACACACUGGUUGAAUCAACAUUGUCUCCACGUCAUUUUAAUGAAAUUACAUAGAACCAACGUGGAAAAGACGUUUGUCCCCCAGCGGGUCUCCACAACUAGAAUAGCUUAUACAGUGGGUAUGACAAGAAUUCACCCCCCUUGGACUUUGUUGCGUUACAAAUUGAAAUUGAAAGGGAUUUAUUAAUUCAGAUUUGUUUUUUUGUUAUUGAUCUACAUCAAAAUGCUCCAUUAUGUCAAGGUUGAAAUGUAAUUCUACCAAUGUUUACAAAGGAAUACAAUUUCAAUAACUUAAAAUAUAUUAUUUACAUAAGUAUUCACUCCCUUUGUUUUGGCAAGCCUAAAUUAGUUCAGGAUAAAAUGUGGCUUAAAUUAUGACACAUUUUUGGACUUAUAAAUGAAUUAUAUAUAUAUUAUAUAUUCCCAUUGAUUAAUGUAGAAUGCUUCAUGAGCUUAGUUCAAUGUUUGUAAAUGAUGUAAAUGUAAACAAACACUGUAUAGCCUCAAAACAAACACUGUAUAGCCUCAAAACAAAUACUGUAUAGCCUCAAAACAAACACUGUAUAGCCUCAAAACAAACACUGCAUAGCCUCAAAACAAACACUGCAUAGCCUCAAAACAAACACUGUAUAGCCUCAAAACAAAUACUGUAUAGCCUCAAAACAAACACUGUAUAGCCUCAAAACAAACACUGUAUAGCCUCAAAACAAAUACUGUAUAGCCUCAAAACAAAUACUGUAUCGCCUCACAACAAACACUGUAUCGCCUCUAAACAAACACUGUAUAGCCUCAAAACACGUGCUACAACUAUCAUUUUGAAAUCAUGGAAGGUCAUUCCUUGCAUCAAUGGCUCUGUCCAUGAAUUUGAAAGUGGUUACAUUUCUCCAUGCCCAUCCCCCAGCUUUAAAAUUAUGUAUUUUUAUCAAAACAGAGGCGGGGUUCACACUUUGAUAUCGUGUCAAAGAUUUCCAGCUUUGACAACUCCCAUAAUAAGUUACAUGGACUCACUCUGUAUGAAAUGAUGUGGGCUGACAUGAUUUUUGAAUCGCUACCCCUUCCUCUGUCCACCAUACAUACAACAUCUGUAAGAUCUCUUAGUCAAGUAUUGCAUUUCAAGCACUGAUUCAACUUCAAAGACCAGGGAGCUUUUUUGAAAGCCUCAAUAAAGACAUGGAGACUGUUUACAUAAACAACACUGUACUGUAGAUUAGUUACAAACACACUUUAAUAUGGGCUGCAGGUAACCUAGAGGUUAGGAGUGUUGGGUCAUUAACACAGUUUAAUAUGGGCAGCAGGUAACCUAGAGGUUAGGAGUGUUGGAUCAUUAACACAGUUUAAUAUGGGCAGCAGGUAACCUAGAGGUUAGGAGUGUUGGGUCAUUAACACAGUUUAAUAUGGGCAGCAGGUAACCUAGAGGUUAGGAGUGUUGGGUCAUUAACACAGUUUAAUAUGGGCAGCAGGUAACCUAGAGGUUAGGAGUGUUGGGUCAUUAACACAGUUUAAUAUGGGCAGCAGGUAACCUAGAGGUUAGGAGUGUUGGGUCAGUAACACAGUUUAAUAUGGGCAGCAGGUAACCUAGAGGUUAGGAGUGUUGGGUCAUUAACACAGUUUAAUAUGGGCUGCAGGUAACCUAGAGGUUAGGAGUGUUGGGUCAGUAACACAGUUUAAUAUGGGCUGCAGGUAACCUAGAGGUUAGGAGUGUUGGGUCAUUAACACAGUUUAAUAUGGGCUGCAGGUAACCUAGAGGUUAGGAGUGUUGGGUCAUUAACACAGUUUAAUAUGGGCUGCAGGUAACCUAGAGGUUAGGAGUGUUGGGUCAGUAACACAGUUUAAUAUGGGCUGCAGGUAACCUAGAGGUUAGGAGUGUUGGGUCAUUAACACAGUUUAAUAUGGGCAGCAGGUAACCUAGAGGUUAGGAGUGUUGGGUCAUUAACACAGUUUAAUAUGGGCUGCAGGUAACCUAGAGGUUAGGAGUGUUGGGUCAUUAACACAGUUUAAUAUGGGCUGCAGGUAACCUAGAGGUUAGGAGUGUUGGGUCAGUAACACAGUUUAAUAUGUGCUGCAGGUAACCUAGAGGUUAGGAGUGUUGGGUCAUUAACACAGUUUAAUAUGGGCUGCAGGUAACCUAGAGGUUAGGAGUGUUGGGUCAUUAACACAGUUUAAUAUGGGCUGCAGGUAACCUAGAGGUUAGGAGUGUUGGGUCAUUAACACAGUUUAAUAUGGGCAGCAGGUAACCUAGAGGUUAGGAGUGUUGGGUCAUUAACACAGUUUAAUAUGGGCUGCAGGUAACCUAGAGGUUAGGAGUGUUGGGUCAUUAACACAGUUUAAUAUGGGCAGCAGGUAACCUAGAGGUUAGGAGUGUUGGGUCAUUAACACAGUUUAAUAUGGGCUGCAGGUAACCUCGAGGUUAGGAGUGUUGGGUCAUUAACACAGUUUAAUAUGGGCAGCAGGUAACCUAGAGGUUAGGAGUGUUGGGUCAUUAACACAGUUUAAUAUGGGCAGCAGGUAACCUAGAGGUUAGGAGUGUUGGGUCAGUAACACAGUUUAAUAUGGGCAGCAGGUAACCUAGAGGUUAGGAGUGUUGGGUCAGUAACACAGUUUAAUAUGGGCUGCAGGUAACCUAGAGGUUAGGAGUGUUGGGUCAUUAACACAGUUUAAUAUGGGCAGCAGGUAACCUAGAGGUUAGGAGUGUUGGGUCAUUAACACAGUUUAAUAUGGGCAGCAGGUAACCUAGAGGUUAGGAGUGUUGGGUCAUUAACACAGUUUAAUAUGGGCAGCAGGUAACCUAGAGGUUAGGAGUGUUGGGUCAGUAACACAGUUUAAUAUGGGCAGCAGGUAACCUAGAGGUUAGGAGUGUUGGGUCAUUAACACAGUUUAAUAUGGGCAGCAGGUAACCUAGAGGUUAGGAGUGUUGGGUCAUUAACACAGUUUAAUAUGGGCAGCAGGUAACCUAGAGGUUAGGAGUGUUGGGUCAUUAACACAGUUUAAUAUGGGCAGCAGGUAACCUAGAGGUUAGGAGUGUUGGGUCAUUAACACAGUUUAAUAUGGGCAGCAGGUAACCUAGAGGUUAGGAGUGUUGGGUCAUUAACACAGUUUAAUAUGGGCUGCAGGUAACCUAGAGGUUAGGAGUGUUGGGUCAUUAACACAGUUUAAUAUGGGCUGCAGGUAACCUAGAGGUUAGGAGUGUUGGGUCAUUAACACAGUUUAAUAUGGGCAGCAGGUAACCUAGAGGUUAGGAGUGUUGGGUCAUUAACACAGUUUAAUAUGGGCAGCAGGUAACCUAGAGGUUAGGAGUGUUGGGUCAUUAACACAGUUUAAUAUGGGCUGCAGGUAACCUAGAGGUUAGGAGUGUUGGGUCAUUAACACAGUUUAAUAUGGGCUGCAGGUAACCUAGAGGUUAGGAGUGUUGGGUCAUUAACACAGUUUAAUAUGGGCUGCAGGUAACCUAGAGGUUAGGAGUGUUGGGUCAGUAACACAGUUUAAUAUGGGCUGCAGGUAACCUAGAGGUUAGGAGUGUUGGGUCAUUAACACAGUUUAAUAUGGGCUGCAGGUAACCUAGAGGUUAGGAGUGUUGGGUCAUUAACACAGUUUAAUAUGGGCUGCAGGUAACCUAGAGGUUAGGAGUGUUGGGUCAGUAACACAGUUUAAUAUGGGCUGCAGGUAACCUAGAGGUUAGGAGUGUUGGGUCAUUAACACAGUUUAAUAUGGGCAGCAGGUAACCUAGAGGUUAGGAGUGUUGGGUCAUUAACACAGUUUAAUAUGGGCUGCAGGUAACCUAGAGGUUAGGAGUGUUGGGUCAUUAACACAGUUUAAUAUGGGCUGCAGGUAACCUAGAGGUUAGGAGUGUUGGGUCAGUAACACAGUUUAAUAUGGGCUGCAGGUAACCUAGAGGUUAGGAGUGUUGGGUCAUUAACACAGUUUAAUAUGGGCUGCAGGUAACCUAGAGGUUAGGAGUGUUGGGUCAUUAACACAGUUUAAUAUGGGCUGCAGGUAACCUAGAGGUUAGGAGUGUUGGGUCAGUAACACAGUUUAAUAUGGGCUGCAGGUAACCUAGAGGUUAGGAGUGUUGGGUCAGUAACACAGUUUAAUAUGGGCUGCAGGUAACCUAGAGGUUAGGAGUGUUGGGUCAUUAACACAGUUUAAUAUGGGCUGCAGGUAACCUAGAGGUUAGGAGUGUUGGGUCAUUAACACAGUUUAAUAUGGGCUGCAGGUAACCUAGAGGUUAGGAGUGUUGGGUCAGUAACACAGUUUAAUAUGGGCUGCAGGUAACCUAGAGGUUAGGAGUGUUGGGUCAUUAACACAGUUUAAUAUGGGCAGCAGGUAACCUAGAGGUUAGGAGUGUUGGGUCAUUAACACAGUUUAAUAUGGGCUGCAGGUAACCUAGAGGUUAGGAGUGUUGGGUCAUUAACACAGUUUAAUAUGGGCAGCAGGUAACCUAGAGGUUAGGAGUGUUGGGUCAUUAACACAGUUUAAUAUGGGCUGCAGGUAACCUAGAGGUUAGGAGUG